UUAGGAAUAAAAUCCCUAACUCUUCUCUUAAGCAUUUAUCUCCCUCACUCACAGUUCUCUUUUCGCACCCCCUCCACUAGACCGUCAUCCCUCUUUUCUAUCCUCAAUUCCUCCUCCGACGGCCUUUCUCCUCCACCGUUCACUGCUAUAACAUCAUUUGUGACUGAGAACAUCUCAAAAACAGGUAAUCGAGGAAGCUUCAGGUGAAACUAUAUAUAUUUUUAAAUUGAUGCUUCUUUUAAUCAUUUUUAGAGCCACACAAGCACUAAAGGAGAAGAAAUGAGAUGCAUAGGUGAUGGGAGAUGGGCAUAAUGGGUUGACAGCCGCGGCUUACUUGGCUCGUGACAGCAUGUCCGUUGCCGUGCUCGAGCAAUACCUUUCCAUAGAAGCUUCAGGUUCUUUGUCUUCACUUUUCCUGCAAUUCAUCUAUUAACUAAUGCCUUCUAAGGGACCAAGGUCCAACCUUGAGCAUAUAACAAGAGCUAGGUGUCAAAAGAUUGCUCUAGUAAUUGAGCCCAAGAAUACAGAAGCAAGUCCUAUGUACAGACAAGUUUAGGAGGAAGUUAAUGAUUGAAUAUGAUGGACGAGCCAAAGUUAGAAGGUAGUCCUUGAAGUGAACAGAGUGUGGUUGCCACUCCAACGAGACCAGAAUCCAACAAGUCCUUCUAGUCAAUCUUGUUCUACACUUAUUUUAGUCAGUAGUUGAUAUAUUUGCUUUAGUAACUAUAUUUAAGAACUUGAACCGGUGAAUAUUGGUUCUCGUAGACUGCAAGAAAAUGGUACUUCAGGAUUGUAAAAUAUUAUUAUUCAUGUAAUUACUUAAAAAAUAAAUUAAAAAACUAGAAUAAAAUGAGAGAAUUUACAAACAAAGUAGAAUUAUAUAUGAUUAAAAACCAAGUAUUAUCAGUCGGAAAUAUUAACU